rnacentral:tRNA from 1 species
GGCAGGGUGGUCGAGUUUGGCUUAAGACGCUGGACUUAUGAUCCAGUUGACGCGUCCCACACGUUACGCGGGUUCAAAUCCCGUCCCUGCCG